AACGAACGCUGGCGGCAUGCCUAACACAUGCCAGUCGAACGAGACCUUCGGGUCUAGUGGCGCACGGGUGCGUAACGCGUGGGAACCUGCCCUUAGGUUCGGAAUAACUCCCCGAAAGGGGUGCUAAUACCGGAUAAUGUCUUCGGACCAAAGAUUUAUCGCCUUUGGAUGGGCCCGCGUUGGAUUAGCUAGUUGGUAGGGUAAAAGCCUACCAAGGCGACGAUCCAUAGCUGGUCUGAGAGGAUGAUCAGCCACACUGGGACUGAGACACGGCCCAGACUCCUACGGGAGGCAGCAGUGGAGAAUAUUGGACAAUGGGCGAAAGCCUGAUCCAGCAAUGCCGCGUGAGUGAUGAAGGCCUUAGGGUUGUAAAGCUCUUUUACCCGGGAUGAUAAUGACAGUACCGGGAGAAUAAGCUCCGGCUAACUCCGUG
rnacentral:rRNA from 1 species